CCGGCCCUUCCCCCUCCGCCCUUCCCCCCUCCCACGCCGCAGGGACCCGGAUGCCCGGAUGAGAAGGGCGGCGGCACCAGAGCGAGCCCUUUGUCAGCUGCAGCCUCAGCCUCAGCUGCGGAGCGGGAGGCCUCUGCCGAGAGCGAAGCUGCACCUCUCGUUCCCUGGAGGCGGCUGGCAAAAGCUGCUUUCCUCCUUCUCCGUUAGCCUCGGCUGCCGGCCCUACAAGCUUACUUCUUCCGCUGUUUCCCCCCGAAACCCCGAGAUCUCUCCUGCCGCUGCCUCUACCACCAGCUUCCUGUUUAUCCGCACUGCGCCUGCGCCGGAGACCGGCUCAGACCGGUCGCCUCAGCCCGGCUCCCCCUCCUAGUGUCGGGCCAGCCUAUUGCGCUGCAUCCGGCAGGGAGACUGGGAGCCGAGGCGGCGCGCAGGGCGGGAGGGAAUGAAAGCAGCAGGAUGUACCACUGACGGUCGCCACCCUCCAGGACGAGCCGGGCGCCCAGGGACGGACCAGCACCCCACCCCAGGAAAGGCAAUGUGGGAGGGGGCUGCAGCCGACGGGGCAAUUGGGAAAAGGGGAAGAGAGCUGUUUACUCUCUCAGUGCGCAGGCGCGGGCGCGAAGCCUCUGGUUCUUAAAGACGUAGGCGGGCACUGACCUACUUCUAUUGGGGUUCUUCUCAGAGCUUGGCGCUAACCCCUUGGAAAGAUCCGAUCAUUCGUUCGUUCAUUCCGCAGACACCUACGGAGCUCACCGCGCGCUGGGUGCUGGGCUCUCGGGCCACUAUGAGCUCACAGCAUGGUGGCGGAGACAAAGUACACACACAGUCCCCAUACAGAGUGCAGAGAAGGGCUGAUGGCAUCCUCUUUGGGGGAGAGGCAGUGGCCGUGAUGGUUUUGUGUUUUGAGUUGGAUGUUAAAGGAUGAGGAGUUAGCCAGAACCCCGCUCUCCUCCAUGCCCAGAGAGUCCCAGGCAAGGACAAAAUCUUCAUGUCUCCCAGAGGCUCAGCAUGCAGCUUUUCUAAUGGGAGGCAAGACUGCUCCCAGGACUCAAAUAAAAUAUAAUAUAAUAAAAUAAAA